CCACAUCUGUGCGCCGCCGCGUUAUAGUUUGCUCCUGCGAGAAAAAAGCGGAGACAGAACUUUAAGAAAAAUGCCAUAAACAAAUAGUAACUAAAAAGUAAAGUAUUUGACGCGUGUUUUCUGCGUGCCUUUUGUCUGCGUGUUUGUGUGCCGACUCUGUUCAAUUUGCCUUUGAUUACAAGCCAAGCUCACCCACACACUCGAGACUUUGCCGAUAAAAAACGAGCGGAUGCACGCAGCAUUUACAGUUUGAGUUUAAAUGUGCCGUCUAAUUAGAAAUGAUUUAAUUUCAAUAGCGAUUUAAUAAAAACGAAUUUGCAAAACGAAACGAAGCGAUGCCGCGUGUGUUUUUGUAUGUACAUAUAUUUGUAUAUGCAUGGAUGUGCCUGUGUGUAAUUCGCCAUACUUCUUCAAUUCAAAGAACAGACAGAAGAAGAACACAACAACAAGAGGGCAAGACAUACUUGAAAAAUAAAAGCAACAACAACUAUCGCUAUCAACUUGAGCCAUCAGCGCAGGCUCUCUCGCUCCCCCUCUCCGUACGCCGUUCUUUCUCUCCGCUCUUUACUGUUGCUGUGCGCGUGUGUAAGCUUCACUUUAGUAGUUUAUGGGUAUGUAUAUAAGCGGGCAAAGGAAAAAAAAAAGCUAUACAUUGCGCUCAAUUUUCCCUAUAUUUUUUGCGCCUGCCAAUAAGCGGUUCUUUGGCGGAGUUGCCACACCGCAGCUCAGAUCGUGGAAUUUUUAAUUGGAAUUGGGAAAGAUUCGUUGCGUACACUACUCACAAGUGUGUGCGUGUGUGUAGAACUGAUAAGACGCAGAGAAAGCAGAAAAGAGACGCCGCUUAUCAACGCCACUAAGAAAAAAUUGAAAUAAACGAACUAAAUGGGUCGACCACAUUGUCGUGUAUUGUUUUUGCACUAUCGCUUAAUAAUUGAAAUUAAAGAGGAGGCGAGGGAAAUGGAGAACGCAAAAAUCCCAUUAUAAUGGAAUUUCAUACUACUGUUUUUAGUGGGUGGGGGUCCAGUGUUUCACAUUGAUUUUCUUAGUAUUUGUGACUAGAUCCACACUCAUUAAUAACGGUAGUUCAAUCAUCAAGCACGUGUUCUCUGGGUAGUAUAUUUCCCUCUAAAAAGUAAAGGGACAAACAGGUGGUGUUCUUUAAACCAAAAAAAAAAAAAAAAAAAACAAAGUAAUUAGUCAACGUCUCUCACGCACACAACGUCAGUCAGACAGAACGACAGAAGUAAAAGAGCACCUGUUCGAGGGCUCAUAAGAGAGUAAACAGUGCAAAAGGAAGAGGAAGAGAGAUAGCGGAAGAGAGACUUGAUUGCAGACCCAAAAUUAACAUUAAUGCUAAUUUAGACCAUUUUCGGGCAAAGAAAAGGUUCAGAAAACGAUCCCCCAAAUUCACAAUUAAUUGUAGACGACUUGGGUAGAAGUGGGAAAAUUGUUAGCCUAACAACAAAGGUUAAAAGUUCAUCAACUACUGCUGAGUCAGACAAUUCAGUAUGUACAGUUGCGGCCAAAAUAAUAGAGUUUUCUUGAAUUUAAAACUACGAGAGUAAUAAGAAUCUAUUACAAACUCAAUGAAAAUACUUUUACUUGCUUUUAGUUCAAAAAAGUUUAACGGAGGAUAGUAAACUCAAACUUGUUUUUUAAUAAAAUCUUAAUUCUUUAUGGUUUUAAAAAUCAAAUACUAUUCUCAACCCCGCAACUGUGUGUUUCUGUAUUUCUAUAGUUCCGCCUCCCUAACUGCUUUGACUUGUUCCUCUCUGGUUUCUACCGGAACAAAUUGCUGAAAUACUAAAUUCCGAGAAGACACUGAUGUCGCAUAGUUCAGAUUAAUAGUUAUAUACACCCCCGACUUGACAAAUAAACAAUAAUUUCCGUCGAAUCAUGUGGUUGGCUUGGCUGUCACUUUAUGUAUCGGAUUUUUUCCAACUUUGCUCUUGGGUUUUGUGCCCCGAUCAGCAGAAAUUCAAACUGCAACGACGCCACAAUUCUUAAACAAUUCUCAAAGACGACGUCGUUUCUGUCGGCUUUUCGUCAGAGAAGAAUCAUCGGGUGAAAGAUGAAGAGGGGUGCUGCUGUCCGUUGAUAUAUAUUAUUGUAUAAAUCAGCAGAAAAAACAGCAAACAGCGGACGGGCAAACAAAAAAUAAUAAACCUUAAUUCGAAGCUCGGAGCUUGAUUCAUUCAUAUUACCCAGGGGAUUCGAAAAGGGGGCGAUACGGGGAAACUGACGGGGACUGCUGACCACCCAAUUGAGCUAUGAAAACCGAUCAAACCGAUAGCAAUUGUUGCCAGGCACGAGAGCAAUGACAUGACAUGCAAAAGCGGCAGGAAAAACUAAACCCCAAACCGAAGCCGAAACCAAACGAAAACCAAACCCAAUCACCAAUCACAAAAAUGCCACAGAAAGUCGUGCAGGGGCAAUAAUCAUCAUCCGAGAAAGGAGAAAAAAAAAGAAGCUGGGGAAGGAUGCUCUUUUCUGACUCUAUUUUGUCGGCGAACAUGGAUCUAGUGCACGGUGGUUCAUGAUUAAGUUCGUGACUAGAUUUCAUGCUCGUCUAUUAAGUUGGGUCAGCACAACGAAGAGAGUUUUUCUCGGGGGAGUUUCGAAACCCCCUUCAUCCAACCCCCUUCCCCCUCUCCGGCUGAGUGGCCAAUUAGCAGACGCAUUAAUUAUGGGAAAAGUAUAUUUGCCUGAUUGACCCGUGACCCACAUAGAGUGGCACACGCCCCGCAGAAAUAACUCCCAAAAUGAGGGCGUGUUAUAAAACUAAAGAACGAGGAGAAAAAAGAGUCAAUGGCCUGCUAUCCCGCAUGCUGUGUGCAUUUACUUGGACAAAAACACAGUAGCCUUGCCGAUUUGUGCGCCUUUAUCUGCCAAAUGGAGUAACUGCCAACGGUCGCAGAAUGUGGAAAACCAAAACCAAAACCCGUGACAGCCAACGGCCCACCAAUUUAUGGGUUGGUGACACGCGAUUAAAAAUCGAAUCCAAAAGGCCCGUACGACCAGGAGACAGAAGCACACAAGCAGAAACCCGGGGAACUCAAACUGCAAUAGAUUUCCGUGUGAAAAAGUCGCCGAGGGUUGUUGUUGUUGCUGCUGCUGCUGUUGUGGCGCCUGCGGCCCAAAGGAAUGAAGCCGGAACACCUUUCAACCCUGCGAGCCAUUGUUAUUAUUAUUGCUACCUAUGGCUACCAUAGCUACUCCUCCUACACGAUCGCACUCGCAUUUGCUUCACGCUCAUUUAAAUGCCAACGCACCGGGGGAAAAGGAGAGCGAGGCGAUCUAACAAAACAUUGGCUGCUCGACUGGCUUAUUUACAUAUUUUCUAAAUGAAUGUGGUGGCUACGAGUUUGCAACCCCGGCGGUGGCAAAGCCAAGAAGCGCAUUCAGUUGCAACGACGGCGGCAGCUGGCUUUCCCUGCACUGGAUUUCCACUUCCUCCCGGCCGAACCAGCAACAUCAGCAAUCAGGAACAGCAGCAGCAGCAAGCAACAGCAACAAGAAGCCGUCAAACGCCGCAACUAAUUGAUAUAAUAGUUAAAAUAACAAACUAACGAGAAAGAGGUUGUCGUUGGCGAACGCGCGGCGUUGGUGAAGUGCAAAACCUUUCCAAUUUGAAAAUAGUUUUCCUGCUAUGUGUGCUCGUUCCCACAAGUAGCAAAGCCACCAGUGGAUGCAGCAGCAACAUUGGCAGCAACUGCAACUGCAACAUCGGUUCAGAACAAGCACAGAACAGCAAAAGCCUGCACUUUGCCAAGAGGUGAUUGGGAAAAGGGGCCUGCUGCUGGAGAAGAUGACAAUGCAGCGAUUAGAGCAAUGCAGAACUUGAACUCUACAACUCCACGCCAUCAUCAUCGUCAUCCUCAUCAUCGCCUUCAUCGGCGGCAGCUGGAAAAAUGUUUGCCCCAAUCCCCAAGUCGCAGUCGUCGCUGUCCCAAUGCGCGGCAUUUCCGUUCUGGGUAAAAAGAGGAUGCAGCCAGCCGAAGCUAUUGAUCGAUUCAAUGCUGAUGCGUUUUGCAAGGGGGAAAAGUUGUAAUCACGUUUAUUAAAUCUUAAUAAAAUAUGUUUAAUGCA